rnacentral:rRNA from 1 species
GACGAACGCUGGCGGCGUGCUUAACACAUGCAAGUCGAACGAGAACGGGUUAUAACUUGUUAUAACUGUCAGCUAAGUGGCGCACGGGUGAGUAAUGUAUAGGUAAUAUGCCUCUUACUAAGGGAUAACAAAUGGAAACGUUUGCUAAUACCUUAUACUCCCUAUUAACAGAAGUUAAUAAGGGAAAGAUUUAUUGGUAAGAGAUUAGCCUGUAUUGUAUCAGUUAGUUGGUGGGGUAAUGGCUUACCAAGACUAUGACACAUAACUGGUUUGAGAGGAUGAUCAGUCACACUGGAACUGAGACACGGUCCAGACUCCUACGGGAGGCAGCAGUGGGGAAUAUUGCACAAUGGACGAAAGUCUGAUGCAGCAACGCCGCGUGGAGGAUGACACAUUUCGGUGCGUAAACUCCUUUUAUAUGAGAAGAUAAUGACGGUAUUAUAUGAAUAAGCACCGGCUAACUCCGUGCCAGCCGCCGCCGUAAUAC